CGGGGCGUGGCUCAGCCUGGUAGAGCGCAGCGUUCGGGUCGCUGAGGUCGGUGGUUCGAAUCCACUCGCCCCGACCA
rnacentral:tRNA from 2 species